UACGAAGGGGGCUAGCGUUGUUCGGAAUUACUGGGCGUAAAGCGUGCGCAGGCGGUUAUGCAAGACAGAUGUGAAAUCCCCGGGCUUAACCUGGGAACUGCAUUUGUGACUGCAUAGCUGGAGUACGGUAGAGGGGGAUGGAAUUCCGCGUGUAGCAGUGAAAUGCGUAGAUAUGCGGAGGAACACCGAUGGCGAAGGCAGUCCCCUGGACCUGUACUGACGCUCAUGCACGAAAGCGUGGGGAGCAAACAGG
rnacentral:rRNA from 1 species